rnacentral:lncRNA from 1 species
UGAAUCAGUUUCUUAUAGUCCAGAUAUUGUGAAUAGCUUAUAUAACCUGAUUUAGUGUUUUUUUUAUAUCUUGAAGCCUCUUUUCUCUCUAUGCUCUGCUAUUUGAUUUUUUCUUCUCUGAGAGGGUCUCUUAUAAUCAUCAAUUCUCUAAAUUGCAAUGCUAAAAUUGCAGGGUUCGAUGAACAGAUCAUGUCUCUGUAGUAUCUUAAUCACUACUUCUCUCAUCUGUGGUGUUUACUUCUCAAUGCUAAAAUUGCAGGGUUCGAUGAACAGAUCAUGUCUAUGUAGUAUCUUAAUCACUACUUCUCUCAUAUGUGGUGUUUACUUCAUUGGCAAUGCUUACAUCCAUCAACAAUUUAAAG